UACGUAGGUGGCAAGCGUUGUCCGGAUUUACUGGGCGUAAAGAGCGCGCAGGCGGUCGUCCAAGUCGCGUGUGAAAGCCCCCGGCUCAACUGGGGAGGGUCACGCGAUACUGGUCGACUCGAAGGCAGGAGAGGGUAGUGGAAUUCCCGGUGUAGUGGUGAAAUGCGUAGAGACCCGGAGGAACACCAGUGGCGAAGGCGGCAUCCUGGUCUGCGACUGACGCUGUGGCGCGAAAGCUAGGGGAGCGAACGGG
rnacentral:rRNA from 1 species